rnacentral:rRNA from 1 species
CCUACGGGUGGCAGCAGUGGGGAAUAUUGCGCAAUGGGCGAAAGCCUGACGCAGCGACGCCGCGUGAAGGAAGAAGGCUUUCGGGUUGUAAACUUCUUUUGUCAGGGACGAAGCAAGUGACGGUACCUGACGAAUAAGCCACGGCUAACUACGUGCCAGCAGCCGCGGUAAUACGUAGGUGGCAAGCGUUCUCCGGAUUUACUGGGUGUAAAGGGCGUGUAGGCGGGACUGCAAGUCAGAUGUGAAAACCACGGGCUCAACCUGUGGCCUGCAUUUGAAACGGUAGUUCUUGAGUACUGGAGAGGCAGACGGAAUUCCUAGUGUAGCGGUGAAAUGCGUAGAUAUUAGGAGGAAGACCAGUGGCGAAGGCGGUCUGCUGGACAGCAACGGACGCUGAGGCGCGAAAGCGUGGGGAGCAAACAGGAUUAGAUACCCGAGUAGUC